CAGCCGCCGCGGUAAUACGAAGGGGGCUAGCGUUGUUCGGAAUUACUGGGCGUAAAGCGCACGUAGGCGGAUAUUUAAGUCAGGGGUGAAAUCCCAGAGCUCAACUCUGGAACUGCCUUUGAUACUGGGUAUCUUGAGUAUGGAAGAGGUGAGUGGAAUUCCGAGUGUAGAGGUGAAAUUCGUAGAUAUUCGGAGGAACACCAGUGGCGAAGGCGGCUCACUGGUCCAUUACUGACGCUGAGGUGCGAAAGCGUGGGGAGCAAACAGGAUUAGAUACCCGUGUAGUCCCUGUCUCUUAUAA
rnacentral:rRNA from 1 species